UGUGCCCUGGAGCCAUGAGCAGCUCUCAGUGCCCGCAGAGCCACCGGAGCAGCCUCCCAGCCACAGCCCCCCGGCACUCUUAGGCUUCCCUGCCCCCCUGGAAGGUGCUCAUCGCUGGCCAGGAGAACAGGCUGCACCUGCACCCAGCCUCCUGCAUCCCUCAAGGUUCCUUGCCUCACCAGCAGGUCCUUGUAGGAUUUCAGCUCUGGGCUGUGUGUCUGGGGCUGAGCCAGGUGCCCCCUGCUCCGUGCUGGGUCCCAUGAGACGGGCGGGACCCCCCUGUCCCUCGUGCCCGGGGCCGCAGCGCCCGGCUCUGCCCCCGCUGCUCGGGACCCCCUGCCAGCCCCCACAGAGGAGCUGCACGGAGCUGCUGCCACGUGCAUGAGUGGAAAGCAGAGGAGAGGCCAAAGCCCAGUGCACACCUGGCAUCUGAUCCCCCAGCAUCCUGCCUUCAUCUGACCCAGGUAGGUGCACCUGAGCUCGGAGCACUGCUGCAUGUG
rnacentral:lncRNA from 1 species